UACGAAGGGGGCUAGCGUUGCUCGGAAUCACUGGGCGUAAAGCGCACGUAGGCGGCUUUCUAAGUCGGGGGUGAAAUCCUGGAGCUCAACUCCAGAACUGCCUUCGAUACUGGAGAGCUUGAGUCCGGGAGAGGUGAGUGGAACUGCGAGUGUAGAGGUGAAAUUCGUAGAUAUUCGCAAGAACACCAGUGGCGAAGGCGGCUCACUGGCCCGGUACUGACGCUGAGGUGCGAAAGCGUGGGGGAGCAA
rnacentral:rRNA from 1 species